GAGAAACAGAAAGUUAGUGAUAUAUAGGGGAACGACAGUCACCCCUGAGAACUGGUGGUAGGUACCUACCAGACUGCCUGCGGCCGCGGCGACUCACAGAGGGGCCAGGAGACGGAGCUACAGGGGAAGCGGGCCCCAACUCACAGUGCACGCUGUUUUCAAGGAGAACUUGUUUUGCCUAAAAGACACGAGGAGGAGGGUUGAGCAGGUGUAUUCCGGCCCCCGGCGCUUGGCCACGAGCAGCAUCCGUGAGAACAGGAAGAGCAGCCGCUCGCCC